rnacentral:rRNA from 1 species
UACGAAGGGGGGCUAGCGUUGCUCGGAAUCACUGGGCGUAAAGCGCACGUAGGCGGCUUUUAAGUCAGGGGGUGAAAUCCUGGAGCUCAACUUGCCAGAACUCGUCCUUUGAUACUGGAGAAGCUUGAGUCCGGGAGAGGUGAGUGGAAUUGCGAGUGUAGAGGUGAAAUUCGUAGAUAUUCGCAAGAACACCAGUGGCGAAGGCGGCUCACUGGCCCGGAACUGACGCUGAGACGCGAAAGCGUGGGGAGCAAACAGG